rnacentral:rRNA from 1 species
AGUCGAGCGGCAGCGACAACAUUGAACCUUCGGGGGAUUUGUUGGGCGGCGAGCGGCGGACGGGUGAGUAAUGCCUAGGAAAUUGCCCUGAUGUGGGGGAUAACCAUUGGAAACGAUGGCUAAUACCGCAUGAUGCCUUCGGGCCAAAGAGGGGGACCUUCGGGCCUCUCGCGUCAGGAUAUGCCUAGGUGGGAUUAGCUAGUUGGUGAGGUAAGGGCUCACCAAGGCGACGAUCCCUAGCUGGUCUGAGAGGAUGAUCAGCCACACUGGAACUGAGACACGGUCCAGACUCCUACGGGAGGCAGCAGUGGGGAAUAUUGCACAAUGGGCGCAAGCCUGAUGCAGCCAUGCCGCGUGUGUGAAGAAGGCCUUCGGGUUGUAAAGCACUUUCAGUCGUGAGGAAGGUAGUGUGUUUAAUAGAUGCAUUAUUUGACGUUAGCGACAGAAGAAGCACCGGCUAACUCCGUGCCAGCAGCCGCGGUAAUACGGAGGGUGCGAGCGUUAAUCGGAAUUACUGGGCGUAAAGCGCAUGCAGGUGGUUUGUUAAGUCAGAUGUGAAAGCCCGGGGCUCAACCUCGGAAUAGCAUUUGAAACUGGCAGACUAGAGUACUGUAGAGGGGGGUAGAAUUUCAGGUGUAGCGGUGAAAUGCGUAGAGAUCUGAAGGAAUACCGGUGGCGAAGGCGGCCCCCUGGACAGAUACUGACACUCAGAUGCGAAAGCGUGGGGAGCAAACAGGAUUAGAUACCCUGGUAGUCCACGCCGUAAACGAUGUCUACUUGGAGGUUGUGGCCUUGAGCCGUGGCUUUCGGAGCUAACGCGUUAAGUAGACCGCCUGGGGAGUACGGUCGCAAGAUUAAAACUCAAAUGAAUUGACGGGGGCCCGCACAAGCGGUGGAGCAUGUGGUUUAAUUCGAUGCAACGCGAAGAACCUUACCUACUCUUGACAUCCAGAGAAUCCUGCGGAGACGCGGGAGUGCCUUCGGGAACUCUGAGACAGGUGCUGCAUGGCUGUCGUCAGCUCGUGUUGUGAAAUGUUGGGUUAAGUCCCGCAACGAGCGCAACCCUUAUCCUUGUUUGCCAGCGAGUAAUGUCGGGAACUCCAGGGAGACUGCCGGUGAUAAACCGGAGGAAGGUGGGGACGACGUCAAGUCAUCAUGGCCCUUACGAGUAGGGCUACACACGUGCUACAAUGGCGCAUACAGAGGGCAGCCAACUUGCGAAAGUGAGCGAAUCCCAAAAAGUGCGUCGUAGUCCGGAUUGGAGUCUGCAACUCGACUCCAUGAAGUCGGAAUCGCUAGUAAUCGUGGAUCAGAAUGCCACGGUGAAUACGUUCCCGGGCCUUGUACACACCGCCCGUCACACCAUGGGAGUGGGCUGCAAAAGAAGUAGGUAGUUUAACCUUCGGGGGGACGCUA